AGAAGGUGCCUGGCUGCCAGCCAGAGGCUUCGGCUUAACACCGCUCCGAAGAAGACCACAGAUCGUCACGCUGCCGCCAUCGCCCACGACGCCCGGAACUUCUCAACACCACGACGCUGCCGCACCAGGGGCAGAAGGGAAUCGCUGCUCCGCCACGAGAGACAGACACCAACCGGCCUCGGCCUGUGGCGGCCGCGCCGCGACCUCGGGAGUCUAUCACCUCCAUCAGCAGCCGAGGUGGGACUUAGCCGAAUUUCAACAAGCAGCGGAAGCCGGCCUGCGGAGAGCAACGCGGGAGUGAGAGAGGCUGGUGCCGACAUCGACGGGUCCCAGAAGCGACCUGCGAGGGCAGUGAAGUGAAGAGGGCGAGUGACCCCUUGAGCCGCCCGCACGAGGACAACCAGCUAGCAGGCAGUGCCCACACUCACCGCCUUCUUCUUCAUGGCGGGACAAUGGAGCCCGCCGCCGCGGCCACGCCCGCCAAGAGCACCAGGCGAGCUGGCGACGACGGGAGCACGUCCAGAGGUGCCGGCUCCGGGGAACCACACCGCGCGAACUAGGCCGACCUCACGGGCCUACAUCUCCUCUCCUCUUCCUACAGAAUUUGCCGCGUCAGGUUCGGAUUCCAAACCGACCACAAGGUCUUUUCUUUCUCUGCGAGGUUCUCCGAGUUUAGAGACCAAAACACUUUCUCCCUGGAAUGGGAGACGAGACGAACGCGGGAUUCUGCAUCUUCAACGAAAGCAGUGUACAGUCUAAAAGGCCUACCGCGGGCGCGAGGACACAGCCCGACACGACGACGGCAGCCCAGAGCGGCGGGCGAACUCCUCGGGCGCCGCGCGGGAGGUAUUUGGAACACCGUGGAGCGGAGUGCUGGGUGAGCGGGGAGGGCGCUGGCACCACCCCAAAGCAGCCAGUGUGCCGGGGCAGCGACGUGACACGCAUCCAGAAACACGCGCGGUCUCCUCGGCAGCAAGACGGAAGCCGCCCCUCCCCCCCCCCCCCCCAUCCGCCACGUUCCACGAACAACACGUUUGAAUUAACUGUGACUUGAGAAACCUGAGUUAUUAGGGUUGUUGGAAAAACCACAUUUUAAUUGAUUAAUGAAAGAUUGAACUAAAAAUUAAAGACUUUUAAGACGAAUGUUACAAACAAACGGUUAAUUAAAACCUGUAUAUUACAUGA